rnacentral:rRNA from 1 species
UGGCGAUCGAAAAAGAUUAAGCCAUGCAUGUCUCAGUGCAGGCCUUAAUACGGUGAAACCGCGAAUGGCUCAUUAAAUCAGCUAUGGUUUAUUGGAUCGUACCCGUUAAAUGGAUAACUGUAAUAACUCUAGAGCUAAUACAUGCCCCGAUGCCCUGACCCCACUGGGGAAUGGGUGCACUUAUUAGAUCAGAAGCCAACCAGUCUCGUGUUGCAAUUGUGACGCGGACUGCAGAACUUCUGGUGACUCUGGAUAAUUGUUACAGAUCGCAGUCGGCCUUGAGUCGGCGACGGGUCCUUCAAAUGUCUGCCCUAUCAACUUUCGAUGGUAGGUGACCUGCCUACCAUGGUGAUAACGGGUAACGGGGAAUCAGGGUUCGAUUCCGGAGAGGGAGCCUGAGAAACGGCUACCACUUCCAAGGGAGGCAGCAGGCGCGCAAAUUACCCACUCCCAGCACGGGGAGGUGGUGACGAAAAAUACCGAUGCGGGACUCCAUAAUGAGGCUCCGUAAUCGGAAUGAGUGGACUCUAAAUCCUUUCACGAGGAUCAAUUGGAGGGCAAGUCUGGUGCCAGCAGCCGCGGUAACUCCAGCUCCAAUAGCGUAUAUUAAAGUUGCUGCAGUUAAAAAGCUCGUAGUUGGAUCUCGGUAGCAUUGUUGCCUGCGGAUAUUUGGGCGUCGGUGUGUGGCUGCUCGCGUGCGUUUGCGCAGUUGCAGGAGGGCGUGUGUAAGACCACAGUUUCUGUGGUCUUAUGCACGUGUACUGUUGCGCUGUGUAGGCGUAUUGUGUAGUGGUCAUUCAAGAGCACUGUCGUGUCAAGUCCGCAAGGCGACGGUGUCACCUUUAAGCCAUGUCUGUGGUCUUGCGGCUACAGGUGUAGACGGGUGUCGGGCGGCGCCUUGCACUAGUGUGGGGCCUAGUCGGCUCGUCUGCAUGCUCCUAGAUGUCCUUCACCGGGUGUCUGUGGGCGGAUGGCACGUUUACUUUGAACAAAUUUGAGUGCUCAAAUCAGGCCGAUGUUGCCUGAAAAGUUUUGCAUGGAAUAAUGGAAUAGGACUUCGGUUCUAUUUCGUUGGUUUUCGGAUCCGAAGUAAUGAUCAAAAGAGACAGGCGGGGACGUUUGUAUGGCUGCGAUAGAGGUGAAAUUCAUUGACCGUAGCCAGACAAACUAAAGCGAAAGCAUUCGUCAAGCAUGUUUUCAUUGGCCAUGAGCGAAAGUCAGAGGCUCGAAGACGAUCAGAUACCGUCCUAGUUCUGACCAUAAACGAUGCCAACUGACGAUCCGUGGUGGUAGUUAUUUAACCUUCCCCACGGGCAGUCCCCGGGAAACCUUUAAGUCUAUGGGUUCCGGGGGAAGUAUGGUUGCAAAGCUGAAACUUAAAGGAAUUGACGGAAGGGCACCACCAGGAGUGGAGCCUGCGGCUUAAUUUGACUCAACACGGGAAAACUCACCCGGGCCGGACACUAUGAGGAUUGACAGAUUGAUAGCUCUUUCUUGAUUUGGUGGUUGGUGGUGCAUGGCCGUUCUUAGUUGGUGGAGCGAUUUGUCUGGUUAAUUCCGAUAACGAACGAGACUCCAGCCUGCUAAUUAGUGCGCUCGUCCACUGUGCCUGCGCGAGUGACAUUGGACCCGAUUGCCAAUGGUAGCGUUAGCUGGGCUUCUCACUACUCCUGCCCUCGGGUAGGUGUGGGUGCGCUGGCUCACUUAGCGUGUUACGCCAUCUGGCGGUCAGUUUGAUGUUGGCUACCGGGCGCGGCGCGAGUGCUUACUUCUUAGAGGGACAAGUGGGUGAAGCCACACGAAAUAGAGCAAUAACAGGUCUGUGAUGCCCUUAGAUGUCCGGGGCCGCACGCGCGCUACAAUGGCGGUGUCAACGAGUCAGACCUUCUGGGCCGAAAUGCUUGGGUAAACUGGUCAAUCACCGUCAUGACAGGGAUCGGGGCUUGGAAUUAUUCCCCGUGAACGAGGAAUUCCUAGUAAGUGCAAGUCAUAAGCUUGCGCUGAUUACGUCCCUGCCCUUUGUACACACCGCCCGUCGCU